rnacentral:misc_RNA from 1 species
UCCGGUUUGACACCGGCAGUCUCCCUAGAGUGCCCGGCAUAACCCGCUGGUAACUAGGGACGAGGGUUGCGUUCGUUGCGGGACUUAACCCAACAUCUCACGACACGAGUUGACGACAGCCAUGCAGCACCUGUACUAGUUGUACCCCGAAGGGCCUACUCCACUUUCAUGGAGAUAAUCCUAGCUAGUCAAGCCCAGGUAAGGUUCUGCGCGUUGCUUCGAAUUGAACCACAUGCUCCACCGCUUGUGUGAGCCCCCGUCAAUUCCUUUGAGUUUUAGCCUUGCGACCGUACUUCCCAGGCGGUCGACUUAGCACUUUUGCUUCGACCGUGUAGGCGUCAGAGCCACCACGAUCUAGUCGACAUCGUUUACGGCUAGGACUAC